UCGCGGCUUAUCACCGGCAGUCCCCUUAGAGUGCCCAACUAAAUGAUGGCAACUAAGGGCGAGGGUUGCGCUCGUUGCGGGACUUAACCCAACAUCUCACGACACGAGCUGACGACAACCAUGCACCACCUGUGUACGGCCCAAAAGGACACCGUAUCUCUACGGCUUUUCCGUACAUGUCAAACCCAGGUAAGGUUCUUCGCGUUUCCUCGAAUUAAGCAACAUGCUCCGCUGCUUGUGCGGGCCCCCGUCAAUUCCUUUGAGUUUUAAUCUUGCGACCGUACUCCCCAGGCGGAUGACUUCACGCGUUAGCUGCGUUACUAAAGGAUUUAACUCCUCCAACAACUAGUCAUCAUCGUUUAGGGCGUGGACUAU
rnacentral:misc_RNA from 1 species